ensembl:lncRNA
CUGCAAAGUCACUCCAACACAAGAAAAUAGGAAAUUAUCAAACACAGGCUGAAAUUAUACUUAAUCAAACAAUAGCUGUAAAUACUGGCAGUUUGAUCAGACAAACAACUGGUCACAUUUUUUGAACGUGAUGCUAUGAUUAUUUUAAAAAUGAGUUCAGCAAAACUUCCUGGUGCAGAUGAACAUCCGACUGUGGACACUCCCAUUUUCUCAGCCCAUAUUUAAAUUUUCCAAGGAAGUGAAGCUUUGGCCAGAUGAGAAGCAGAGGGAGGAUUGGCAGUUUCUCUAAAACACAGGGAAACACACGGAAUAUGCUGCAUGCUUCCUCAUGAGGGAAAGACUCUGCUGUGGCUUGCUGUACUGGUAAGCCUGGGCUUAACAGAGGGCCAGAUCACAACAGAUUACAUCCGUGUCCAAACACCAAUGCCAUGGACCGAAGCUCGGGAGUUCUGUCAGAAGCACUACGUGGAUCUGGCUGUCCUGAGCACAGAGGAGCAGUACUUCACUGUCCGCACCGCCACAGCUUCAAGCAAAGCCAGCUUUUGGCUGGGUUUGCAGCGCCAGAGCCUCGGCAGCAGCUGGAAGUGGGUGAGCGGCGAGGAACUGGGCUACAAACAGUGGUACAACAAUAACUACGAAGGCCGCUGCGCCAGCUUGGAGGCGAUGCUGAAGAAAGACCAGAAGCUGCUUCCUCGUCUGUGCAAUGAGCCACACAUGGCUCUCUGUCAAGGUCCUGUUUCUCCACAGUCAGUGACAGUGAGCUCAGUGGGAGCUCAUCGUCUGAAUCUCAGCUGGAACGUCUCCAGCUUUAUGCAGAUGACACCACACGGCUACAACCUAACAGUCUGCACCAACACCUGUGAAACACUCCUUUACUCCUACCCCGGCGGCUCUGCCCUCAUGAACAUCGAUGUCUCCAACCUGACGUCUUGUACAGAGUACUCUGUGGCCAUUGCUGCCUUUGUUGUUCGACCUGACAGCCGUACCGGUGAAGAAAUAAUCCUUCAAGAUGAGCCCACAACCUUGCAAGUCAAAACAGGUGGCUGUCAUGAUUGGAAAAAACUCCUCUGCUUCUUGUUGAAGCUGCUCAAACUGGCCUCUCUGGCUCCUCCUCUCUGGGUUCUCUAUCACAUAUUCAAAAAAGUUGCAGACGACUGCCUGGAACCAGAUCAUGAGAUCUCUGCAGUGCUCACAACUGAGGAAUAGCUGUGGAUCUUAUCCCCCAUCAGAUAAAAGGAGGAAACAUGCUUACAUCUUCAGCAGUAAUAUCCCUGAUAAGCCUUUGCCACAGGAAUAAGCUAUUUAAUCUUUUUUCUUUCCCUUAAAAACUUGACUCAUGAUGCCAUGACUUGUUUACGAAGGUGAGCAAUACGUAUCUUGCACAUGGUGAUUAUAUUCCAGAUGAAAGAGGGCUGAAAAUACUGAACUGAACAUACUGGUCAGCUUAAGGAAAACAGGUGUUUGAAGAUCUGACCAAACAGCUCAUCUGACAUUAAUCUGACGAGCGUCCACGUGUCCAGCUUCACUGCUUCAUUCGUCAUCCAGUCAUCCUGUGAGCUAAAAAACAAGACGUGUUUUGAAGCUUGGAGGAGGUUGGAGUUACGUUAGAAAACUGCUGUCGUUCCUUGUUUUGUUUUUUUAAGUUAUUGUCUUACUUUCAGUAGUCCGUUUUCUGGAUAGUGCUGCUGCUGCUGCACAGUCAAAGCCUUCAGUGUCAUGUUUGUUCUUCACAGGACAGACCCAUGUUCCCAACCCAUCCCGUUUUUGCUGAAGCAUCUGAGAAAAGUCUCAACAUCACUUUCUUGGCGGAGGCUUAAACCACAUUGUGGUGAUGCUAAUACAAUUAUGAUCUGCAUUGAAACUGUGAAUUGAGACCAUAAACACCGGAUACUGGAGUGUACAGUGUUAAUGUAAAUCCUGAGCCUCAACAGCAGCAGCGUGUUCAGAUUUAUAGUCUCAUUUCCAAAUGUUAAGAUUUCUUUACACUACAUUCUUAGCUCAGGUAUUCAGACCGAUCUUGCUAUGGAAUGCAUAUUUAAUAGAUCUUACCCACAGUAUCUGAAGUACAAAUGACGGCAGGAUAGUGCUUGGACCAUAUGUGUCAUAUCUGCAUGUCUUACUAGAACUGCCCGAAAGUGCUUGAGUUUCUUAUGUAGUUAUUUGUAUAAUAUUAAUAUAGAAGCGAAUGUCAUGAAGCAGUGAAGCGACACAUUGAUGAUCAGAUUGUCAAUUUACAGUUGAAGCUUUAUUCAACAUUAUGUGAUUAUUCCUAUGAUGCCCUUUUCAAAAGCACAAUGUAUUAUUGUUGAUUUUUACUAAUCUCUUUGUUCUUCACCUGAAGAAGGAGGAUUUGCAACUGAAAAUGACUGCAGCUAAGAAUGAAUGAAGCCUCUAUGUUUUUCAUACGCUGAAUGAAUUAGCUGUAAGAAAUAGUUGCAAAAAUCCAGUUAUUGUUUAACUUUUAAUGACUUGAGAUGAGAAAGUAAAUGUGAAUGUAGUGCCGUACCCUGCUGGAUUCAUCAGCACAGACCAGCACCUGUCAUGUUCUGGUUGAUGCUGCUGUUUGGUGUCUGAUGUCUGGUUUAGCUGCUGAUCCAGCCUGAUGACGUUGGUCCAGCAGCAUGUUCUCAUUGCCAGUCAUCACACAUUGUAACCAAAAACUCAGCAUAUGCUCUAAAACCAGCCUGCAUUGAGCCGGUUUCAUGGGCUCUGCUGACAUCUGACUUUGGUUACUCUGAAAGUGUUGUCAUAAUGAAGAAGCUGAAUGAAGUGUUCAUACUUUGCACUUUUUUUCUAUUUUUUCAAUAUUUUUUAUACGUUUUGGUACUUUUCUUGAAAGUGUAUUUUAUUCCUCUCAGGCGAGUCAAAGCACACUAACCACUUUGGAAGAAAUGCUCUACAUUCAUUAUAUUUGCUGCUGAGACAUUAGCAGUCGUAUAAACAGGAGAGUAUUGACUCUGACUCUGACUUUGAUGUUCUCAAUCGUUCAAUUUUUGGGGGGUCUGUCGUAUAUUUAAAAGACUAAAACACAUGCUGCUUCCUCUGUUAACACUAAACUCAGCAGCAGGAAUGUACUGCAAGAAACAUUUUGCAUUCAAUAAAGGUUUUUAAUCAAUGACUUAAUGAGUUUUAUUUUUUUCUAAUUGUUUAAACACACUAUCGU